GCUGGGCAUGGUGGUGCAUGCCUGUAGUCCCAGCUACUUGGGAGGCUGAGACAGGAAAACUGCUUGAGCCCAGGGGGUGAAGGCUGCAGUGAGCCGUGAUCGUGCCACUGCACUCCAGCCUGAGCUACAGAGCAAGACCCUGUCUCAA
ensembl:misc_RNA Metazoa_SRP Metazoan signal recognition particle RNA